rnacentral:lncRNA from 1 species
CCUUGUUUGCUCGGUUAUAUAUUAUUUACUAAAUCGUUGCCCUGCGGAUAAACCUUGUAAAGUUGCUUUAAAAAAGUUAUUUGUUUGAUAAUUAAGUCCUGAAAACCCAUCGUUUAAUGAUUAUUCCGAACCCAUAAGGCAGAGAACCUCCAUGACGUUUUUCUCUAAGUUUAAUUACCGUAUGCUAAUUUCCUUGCCUACUACGUGAUUAAUUAAAAUCAUAUUUUCAUAAUCAUUUGGCACUAGUAUUGUUUUAGAAUUAUCAUGAUCCCCUAAAUAGUGUAUGUAAAUAAAGUCGGCUCUAAUGGAAAGAAUCAAAAUGCAACGCUGAGGACCUUUAUGUGUUUGUAUGCAUGCGAUUGGCAACAUAACUGGCUUAUUUACAUUAAAUACGCCACAAGGUUACAGUGCAGAUCAACGUCACUUUAUCGCUGAUUACUUCUCUUAACCGCCGGAGCGGUGACUGAUGCUCCGGUCCCCCGUCCGCCCAGCUUUCCCCGGGAGUUUUUUUCGGGAGCCGCAGACUUUGCACACUUUCGGAUCAGUUGCGACCUUCAGUACCUAUCCUGUGUCUUUUAAGGACUUCCUCAGCCAGGGAACACAUUCGUUGGUUUAAGAGUAACUGUAAAGAGUCUGCAAGAGCUUCCAUCAUCCAUCGAUAGAAGAAUUAAACUUUGCUGCACUCCAGCUAGCUAGAUGGGGAAACUGAGGCAAAGAGGUUAAAGGGCCUCUUUCAGCCACGGAGUGUGUUGAUGUCUGUUCCUGCUCCCUAGACAUGUGCACAGACUACUAGACUUCACUGCUCUGGCAGCAGCAGGGAAGUGGGACGCCCCUUUGGCAAUCUGUCAGUGCCAACCUGAGCUGCAUCCAUUUGCUGGGUAUUUUCUAAGCUGACUGACAGUCCUUAAAACAAGUAUGCAGUUAAGCUGCUAAGGUAAGAUUUGCUAUAUUAGCAUACUUUACACCAUAUAUUAAGCCAUAAAUGGAUCAUCCUGUUAUGCUUUAGGGUCCCCGUCCUGAAAUUUCUCAGUCAAGUGAAUAUCUCCUCAAGAAACAGUUCCUGUUACACUCUCACUUCCCCCACCCCCAUCUCUUUCAUUUAAGAAUUGCAUUUGGGAGGUGCGGGUGCUCUGUGUGCAUGAGAACUGCAGACAUAGGCUUAUGUCAAGUCAUUGGAGUCCCUUCAAACUUCUGAAUUAAUAUAUGGAUGAUUAAACAAAAUGUUUGCCUCUCUGUCUUGUAUUCAUGGAUUUUUUUUCAGGGUUUUGGGGGAAAGAAACCGAAGCCCCCUGUGUCACGUAGUAGCAGGUCAAGCCUUUUUGGUAUAUCAGGGUCAGGGAGCUGUGCAAAGUUUCCUAGCAAAUAAGUCUAACCCAUUAGUUCAAAAAUAUUGAGGAGCAGUUAACGUAUUCUAGUUCCAAGAAACCACUGCUGUUAUUUUGAGUAGUUUUGAUACAACCAAAUCAAAGUGAAGAUUUGAAAUAGCUUUUCUGAAAGCCCAAGCCGAAGUCAUAAAUUAUUCUACACCAUGAUUCGUUCAGAUAGUAAAACCAUACCUCUUUGCCUGACAUUACUGAAAUGUAGAAAAGGGAAAGUUAAAAAUAAAAUGAAACAUUUAAAUCUUUGCUGUUGAGAACCUCAGAUAGAUGGCAAUAUAGCAAAGUUGAUAAAAGCGAUUCUCAAUUAGACUUUAUUAUUAUUUUAUUAAGGUAUUAUUAAUAAACAUCAGGGUGCAGCAGGCGUUAACACUAUCCUGGUAUUAGACAAGUGGACACUGAAGAAAAAUAAAGGCAAGUUGCCUGUAAUGAGAAAAAGUAGAAGGACGUGUCUAAACUGCAAAUGACAUGAAAAGCAGAAAUAUCAUAUAUUUGUCCUUCAGGCCUGAUCCUGUGGCCUUUUGUUGUGUAGUGAGUUCUGUUAAGUUGCGCAUAACCAGUCAUGAAUAAGCUCUAGUUCUCUGAGUCAAGGCUACUUGACUAUUUCCCAAGAGAACAGGUAGAACAUUUUGUUGUGUAUGUACAUAUACAUAUAUAUAUAUAUAUUGUUUCUUUCAUUAAGCCCAGUAAAUGCGCAUUGCUGUCUCUUUUCAGUGAGCUUUUACAGACGUAUCUCUUUCUCUUUAAAAAUAAAU